GGCAGAAUGGCUGAGUGGUCUAAGGCGCUGGUUUCAGGUACCAGUGACUGCGGUGGCGUGUGUUCGAAUCCCACUUCUGUCA
rnacentral:tRNA from 1 species